CAGUUAAUAUAAGAGAAAAAAAUAUUGUAAUCAAGAUAAAUGUUUUCAAAACGUGUGAUUAACUAGUCAAUUGUCUAUAAUCUGUUGACAGCCAUAAUCGUAUUCUGAUAAUACACGUUGGUGCUCAAAUAUUUUCAGAUGGCCCGUGCAAAGUCAUGCCACCAGUCUGAGGACAUCACUGGGAAUGGCACAUGGGACACGUGGCUUUCAACUCCAGCGAGACCCAAGUCGACUGGACCACAGCGGAAAAUGAUCCUUCCAGAGAAGAAGUUAUUUACUUCUACAACGAAUGGAAGAGUUACAACUUCCAGAUGACAGCUCGCCGCUCAUCCUUCUGGGCAACUUGAACAUCCGACAGAACUUAUGUGACCUACUGCGUUUAUUUUCUCCUUUAGCUCUCACUAACUCUAACUUGCCCCAGCACCUGUUGUGAUUUAUUCUAGCGCUUCCACAAUUGAAUUUUGCUUGGUAUUUCAUCUAACUUGCCCCAGCACCUGUUGUGAUUUAUUCUAGCGCUUCCACAAUUGAAUUUUGCUUGUUAUUUUAUCUAACUUGCCCCAGCACCUGUUGUGAUUAAUUCUCUCUCACGGUGUCAAGUGUGUACCUUGAUCUUUUUUUUGCUCAUUGCAGCCCUUCUCUGCAAGGAGUGCUAACAAUGCAUGGUGCUGUUCAUUAAGCAACUGGGUAAAGAGCUUGUAAUGCCACAUAUGAAAAAGCUCAUAAGCUCAUUUAUAAUAAAAUAAUAUAUAUAAUCUUG